rnacentral:lncRNA from 1 species
AUGUAAAUGAAUAGCCAGAAAAAGUAAAGAUAGAAACCCUAUCUCAGUCUCAGCUGCGCCGCAUCUCUUUUUCUUUCGAUUUAACCUUAUUUUCUUCCGCCGACAUCUCCCCUCAUUAUAUUUCCUUGUAUAAAAUGAGUUUUGCAGUUUGGUUUGAGAUAUCUAAGCUUCACGAGAUGUCGAGAAGGCGGCAGCUGCUGCUUUCACGAAAUUGCUGAGCUCUCUGGUCAAGAUCCAGCCAUAUACACUGGUGCAUUUUAUCUGUUCGACGAAAUGGUUCAAAGGUAUGCUCCCAUAGAUUGCUUCUGCCGUUUGAAUAGAGCUGAUUUUGUAUUUGCUAUUUUAUGCAGUUUUUUCAAGCGUUGUUACGAAUCAAACGUGGUGGUGUUCACCAAGCUCCUCAAUGGGCUUUUUUUUGGCAGUGGAGAAGUUGUUGAGAGAGAAACUGCGUGAGUAUAAUGAAGUUACAUGUUGCAAAGCUGAGUAUAUUCCAUCGUGAUAGAUGGGCUAUGCAUCAGAUUGUAAUGUUUGAGUGGCUCGAGAAGAGGUUGGAUGCUCAUUCAACGAGCUAUGUUGAUUCCCAACAUAGUAACAUACAGAUUAAUCUCUUCGAACAAGACCUGGUAUCGCAAGUCGCUGGUGCAGGAAUCAGGGCCCAACUAUGCCAAUGAUGAAUGAUUUCUUGUGGAUAUGGCGUAUUCUUUUGUUGCAAACAUUCAAUUUUUUUUUUCGGAUUUGAUGCUCAACUCCGCGGAUUGACAAAUUGACAAAUUAGUGUCAGUUUCUUCCGGCACCUCCGGUAGGAGCAUACUUUUAAAAUAGUUGAGAUCGAUUAUUGAGAUAGUGUCAGUUUCUUCAAGAGGGAGUGUUUGAUGCAUUUGAGAUAGUGUCAGUUUCUUGAGGGAGGGAGUGUUUGAUGCUUCGAGAGGGAUUGUACAAUGAUAUAAUGUAGCAUUCAUAUUCUUAAUUAUGUUUUAGUUGAUUUUUAUGUUAUAUAAUGCUGAAACUGCGUUUAGUUGAAACUAAUGCAUUGCUAAGUUCUCAUUA